AGAAACUGUUCCCAUAAACAGACAUGUUGGUCCUGUGUGUCAUCUCUGUCCUCAGUCUUCUCUCAGUGGGACUGGCAGCUCCUCUGUCCUGUGAGGAUCUACUGAGACCUUUAGAGAUGAACAGCACGAACCAUUGGAGGCAAAUGCAUUAGCAUGACCAGUGAAAUGACCAUGGAAAACAACACGUUUACCUCAACGGGACCUUUGUACUUUUCCCUGACCUACCUGAAUACCUGCCCUGACUGCCUCCUUGCCCAACAAAAGUUGUCAUUGGUUAGCAACUACAGCACUCUGUAUAUCUUCAGUAAGAGAAAGGAGCUGACCUCUGCUGAACUGGAAGUGUUUAAGAAACAGGUGGACUGUCUCAAUUUGCCACCAGCUGUGUUCACAAACCCACAGAAAGAUUCCUGUCCAGAUCCGACACAGGACAACAGCAAAACUCUGGACCUGUCGAAAGGGAUCGAAUUGCUGGGUGACAAGAUUGAUCUUCAGAAGACUUUAGAAGAGAUGAUAAGUAAAUUACAACUAGAGAGUAAUAAAGCCGAUUAAUUGUCAAAAUGUCAA